GGGAAUGUAGCUCAAUCGGCAGAGCAGGUGACUCUUAAUCACUUGGUUGCGGGUUCAAUUCCUGCCAUUCCCA
rnacentral:tRNA from 3 species